UGGGGAAUAUUGGGCAAUGGGCGAAAGCCUGACCCAGCGACGCCGCGUGGGUGAUGAAGGCCUUCGGGUUGUAAAGCCCUUUCGUGCGGAAAGAACAGUCCCGUAGUGAAUAUCUACGGGAUUUGACGGUACCGCAGGAAGAAGCACCGGCUAACUCCGUGCCAGCAGCCGCGGUAAUACGGAGGGUGCAAGCGUUGUUCGGAAUUAUUGGGCGUAAAGGGCGCGUAGGUGGUUGUGAUAGUCAGAUGUGAAAUCCUCUGGCUCAACUGGAGAACUGCAUCUGAAACUUCAUAACUCGAGUACAGGAGAGGGAAACGGAAUUCCCGGUGUAGAGGUGAAAUUCGUAGAUAUCGGGAGGAACACCAGUGGCGAAGGCGGUUUCCUGGCCUGAUACUGACACUG
rnacentral:rRNA from 1 species